rnacentral:pre_miRNA from 1 species
UGCCCGGGACCCAGUUCAAGUAAUUCAGGAUAGGUUGUGUGCUGUCCAGCCUGUUCUCCAUUACUUGGCUCGGGGGCCGGCGC